CAGAAACUCAAAGGAAUUGACGGGGGCCCGCACAAGCGGUGGAGCACGUGGUUUAAUUCGAUGCAACGCGAAGAACCUUACCAAGGCUUGACAUAUAGAGGAACGUCUGGAAACAGUCGCCCCGCAAGGUCUCUAUACAGGUGGUGCAUGGUUGUCGUCAGCUCGUGUCGUGAGAUGUUGGGUUAAGUCCCGCAACGAGCGCAACCCUCGUUCUAUGUUGCCAGCACGUAAUGGUGGGAACUCAUGGGAUACUGCCGGGGUCAACUCGGAGGAAGGUGGGGAUGACGUCAAAUCAUCAUGCCCCUUAUGUCUUGGGCUUCACGCAUGCUACAAUGGCCGGUACAAAGGGCUGCAAUACCGUAAGGUGGAGCGAAUCCCAAAAAGCCGGUCCCAGUUCGGAUUGAGGUCUGCAACUCGACCUCAUGAAGUCGGAGUCGCUAGUAAUCGCAGAUCAGCAACGCUGCGGUGAAUACGUUCCCGGGUCUU
rnacentral:rRNA from 1 species